AGCUUUGCACAGUGGCAGUAUCACAGCCAAUGAGUUUUAUCCAAGGUGCAAUUAUUGCUAAUUGAAAACUUUUCCCAACACGCCACAUGACAACUUGAAAUAUAGUUGGCAUUGGCAAAAAAAAAAA
rfam:Otolemur garnettii contig122926, whole genome shotgun sequence.